rnacentral:lncRNA from 1 species
GUCAAUUUAACCGUGGAAAAUGUGAGUUAGUAAUCAAAGCUUUCAAUAGGAAGACUAUGAUACAGAAACGCUGUUGCUCGCCAGUUUAGACUGCAACACGCAUUUCAAAGAGCUGUUGGUUUAAAAAAAUCCAAUACACCUUUAGCUAUACCCAAAUCAUUUAUUAAAACAUUUCACAGCAAUAUCACACUACGCUUAGGAGACAAAUACAUGAUUUAAAAAGGAUAACUAGCCUUGCGUUUUCCUGAAUAAUCUUUACAUAAAUGAGGCUUUUAAACUAAAAAAAUCUAAAAAGUUCCCUUGAUAGUUACAGAUGGUUUAAUCUUUGGAUUCCUCUGCAUGUUCAUUUUACUUUCAGCAUUAAUUAUAUAUAAUUGCUAUUCAUUCUAGCAAAACUCCAAAGCUUAACUGUAUAUCCUCAGUGCUGCAUGCAUUUUACAUAUAAAUGUUUGCAUUGCAUCUUAUGAGUGGUUUGUAUUGAGAAAAAAUGAGUACAGUUCAUUGUUUGUUAGUUCCUUUAAUAUUGUUUAAUUACUCUGUUAUAGGCUGACAGUAAUUAGGUUAUCUUUUCUGCAAAUGAGACAGACACUGUCAUGCUGAGAGAAAAAUGAAUGUCAUAUUUUUUCUAAUGUGCAAUGUUUUUUUUGUAUUUCUAAACUACGCAUCCUAUUUUACAGAAAGCAUGUUUUGCGUACCUGCAUUAAAUAUUGAAAACUAGUCGCUGUGAAUGGGGUUUAUUUACUAACCAGUGAGUUAUCGUUAGUUACCAACUAAAUCUGCCAAGUUAAAAAAAUAUAAAUGGAAAUUACAACUCAGCUAUUCAUCUUUUUCACUUCAGUUUACAAUUUAUCAAAAUUCACAUUUUAAUAAGUUAACCCAACAAUGGUCUAUUCAAUAAACACCAAACUAUAGUGAAAUGAAAGUGGAAUUCGGAAAUUUAGGCUCAAAUGGCCAAAAAUUGUGUGGUAUAACGGUGAUGUAUAUUUUUUCCAAAUCACCAUUUUUUGGGGGGUACAUUUUGAAAAUCAGUUUUUAAUUGACUGCAAUUUGGGGUUUCGUAUGUUCUUAUAUAAUGGGUAAGGAAUGUGCAGAUGGCAUAGCCACCUUUAAUAUACGUUUCCUGAAUUUAACCCCUUUAAUUAUUUGGUACCUGUAUUGGUACCACAAAUUAUAUGUUCAGAGAUUUAUUUAUUAAAAACCUGAAAUUAUGGUGAUAUGAUAAGGGGUGGCAAAUUUACUGCAAAAUUUAUUUAGGUGAAAAUACAAACCAACUAACAUAUACUAAUAAAAAGCAUUAUAUCAUCAACUUACAAAGUAGUCAACUUGUUAGGCCUGACUAUGCUUUUUUAAACAAUUUACAUUUCAGUAAAUUACACUCUCAGAGUUUGGGACUAGCAGUGUAAAUGACAUUGUAGUACCUUAUCAGUUAAAAAAAUUAGCCAAUUAGUGUAGUAAGUGUAAUAAAAGAUACAAACACAGGGAAAAUAUAUUUUAUAUAAGCUUUCCAGAAUAGAAUUCAUAAAUUGACAGAGCGAAGAUAGAUUUUUUUUUCCUCAAAUAAAUAUUUUAGAAUCAAAGUUUCUGUUUGUGUGUGUUUACAUUUCUUAGGCUUGUUAAGGAUCUUGAAUCCAUGUAAUAUUUUUUUCUGUUUUAGUUAUAAAUUCCAAACCAUGUGAUUAUAUUAUUUUACCUGAUUUCAUUCUCUUCCCAUCAGACUUGACUUGUCAGGUGAUUUUCUGGGCAUGCAUGCAUCAAAGACAAGUCUGAAUAUAAGUGCUUAUUGUCAGAGUGAAACCCAAUAUUUCAGAACAUUUGAAAGAAAAUAGAGAGAGGAUGCUGUCUGCAUGUUGGCAUUCUGUAAAGUCUGUUGGUAUUAUCGCUGAGAGCAGGUGGGGGCCAGUAAGAGCACACAGGGCUCCUCAUUAAAGGCUAACACAGUGGCUAUUAUUGGAUCAGAUCACAUCAGGUGAAGAAGAGCUGAACAGACUGAGCCUCUACCGACACCUGAAGCAGCCUAGUCUAGUCUGACCUUGAAGUUCAGCUGCCAAGGUCACUCCUAAUUCCUUUAGCCGCCUGCUUGAGUUUUUCUUUAGAAGGGAGGAGGUGUAAGGUUUAAAAAGAAGGGGCAUAUUUGGUGUACCGGGAAGAAGGUGCAUAUCAUCGCUAUACCAUUAAGGUGCUGACAGAUACAUCUCAAAAUAGAUAGAGGGAGGUAUUUAAAAAAAAAAAAAAAAUUUUUACAGAAGGUCACAAAUUUGCACUAUGCCAGCAAGAAAAUGUACUAAUUUAUAUCUAAAACCCUUUGAUCUUGAACUCAUCAUCCCACCCCAUACACAUGGAAUGUGGACUAGUGAUGUAUCAGUAUUUUAACCUAUAAACAAAUAAAAGACUUGCAGGCAUCUUAACUUAAUGAUUUUACAGAUCUAAUGCAGGGAGGGCUGUAUAAAGUUCCUCCAGCUGCCUGGUGUUUACUAGACAGUUUGUUGUAUUUACUAAGCCAUAAUAGAUGUUAUAAACUUACAUGUGUCACUUAGGAGCAAGUAUUUUAUUUGCACACAGUGUUAAAGACUCUAGGACAACACAGAUGUGG